GACGAACGCUGGAGGCGUGCUUAACACAUGCAAGUCGAACGAUGAAAUGGAGCUUGCUCCAUGGAUUAGUGGCGAACGGGUGAGUAACACGUGAAUAACCUGCCCUUAAUUUUGGACUAACCCAGGGAAACCUGGGCUAAUACCGGAUAAGUAAACCUGUGGCAUCACAUGGUUUUGGAAAGUUUUUUGAUUAAGGAUGGAUUCGCGGCCUAUCAGCUUGUGGGUGAGGUAAUGGCUCACCAAGGCGACGACGGGUAGCCGGCCUGAGAGGGUGAACGGCCACACUGGGACUGAGACACGGCCCAGACUCCUACGGGAGGCAGCAGUGGGGAAUAUUGCGCAAUGGACGAAAGUCUGACGCAGCGACGCCUCGUGAGGGACGAAGGUCUUCGGAUUGUAAAUCUCUUUCAGCAGGGACGAAGCGAAAGUGACGGUACCUGCAGAAGAAGCACCGGCUAACUAUGUGCCAGCCGCCGCCGUAA
rnacentral:rRNA from 1 species